AGUGAAGCGGGAUGAGCUCAAAUUUAAAAUCUGGCUGGUUUACUAGUUCCGAAUUGUAGUUUAUAGAAGCGUUUUCGGUGGCAGCCUGGGUAUAAAUCCUUUGGAAUAGGGUAUCAUAGAGGGUGAGAAUCCCGUCUUUGACUCAGUGCAUGCUACUAUGUGAUACGUUUUCAAAGAGUCGAGUUGUUUGGGAAUGCAGCUCAAAAUGGGAGGUAAAUUUCUUCUAAAGCUAAAUACCGGCGAGAGACCGAUAGCGAACAAGUACCGUGAGGGAAAGAUGAAAAGAACUUUGAAAAGAGAGUUAAACAGUGCGUGAAAUUGUUGAAAGGGAAACGUUUGACACCAGUUAUGCGGGUGGAAAAUCAGUCUUUUGCAAUGGCAAGCUGUGGGCGUUCAGACCGCAAGGCUGGCGUUUGCUUCAUUGUUGUUGUAAGUGAUGCACUUUUUCAUUUGCAGGUCAACAUCAGUUUGUUUCGCUGGAUAAAACCCCAAGGGAAGGUGGCAGCUUAGGCUGUGUUAUAGCCCUGGGGCGAUACAGUGGGAUGGACUGAGGUUUUCGCAGCGUGUGCUUUCGGGCAAGGUCGACUGGGUGCUAUGGGAUCGUUUGGCGUACAAUGCAUGCAUUUUGCGCUUCGUCUUUUCCAUACUCGCUCAAAUCGUCUCUUCCACGCUUAGGAUGUUGACUUAAUGGUUUUAAACGACCCGUCUUGAAACACGGACCAAGGAGUCUAACAUAUAUGCAAGUGUUUGGGUGGCAAACCCAUGCGCGUAAUGAAAGUGAACGUAGGUGCGAUCCGCAAGGUGCAGCAUCGACCGAUCUUGAUAUUUUUGGAUAGAUUUGAGUAAGAGCAUAUAUGCUGGGACCCGAAAGAUGGUGAACUAUGCCUGAAUAGGGUGAAGCCAGAGGAAACUCUGGUGGAGGCUCGUAGCGAUUCUGACGUGCAAAUCGAUCGUCAAAUUUGGGUAUAGGGGCGAAAGACUAAUCGAA
rnacentral:rRNA from 1 species